rnacentral:rRNA from 1 species
CUACAAUGGCGUAAACAAAGGGAAGCGAAGCGGUGACGCCGGGCAAAUCUCAGAAAUAACGUCCCAGUUCGGAUUGUAGUCUGCAACCCGACUACAUGAAGCUGGAAUCGCUAGUAAUCGCGAAUCAGAAUGUCGCGGUGAAUACGUUCCCGGGUCUUGUACACACCGCCCGUCACACCAUGGGAGUCGGAAAUGCCCGAAGUCAGUGACCCAACCGUAAGGAGGGAGCUGCCGAAGGUGGAGCCGGUAACUGGGGUGAAGUCGUAACAAGGUAAC